rnacentral:rRNA from 1 species
CUCCUUUGACGUUAGCGGCGGACGGGUGAGUAACACGUGGGUAACCUACCUAUAAGACUGGGAUAACUUCGGGAAACCGGAGCUAAUACCGGAUAAUAUUUCGAACCGCAUGGUUCGAUAGUGAAAGGUGGUUUUGCUAUCACUUAUAGAUGGACCCGCGCCGUAUUAGCUAGUUGGUAAGGUAACGGCUUACCAAGGCGACGAUACGUAGCCGACCUGAGAGGGUGAUCGGCCACACUGGAACUGAUACACGGUCCAGACUCCUACGGGAGGCAGCAGAC